UACGGAGGGUGCAAGCGUUAAUCGGAAUUACUGGGCGUAAAGGGUUCGUAGGCGGUUAUUUAAGUUAGAUGUGAAAGCCCCGGGCUUAACCUGGGAACUGCAUUUAAAACUGAAUGACUAGAAUGUAUUAGAGGAAGGCGGAAUUCCCGGUGUAGCAGUGAAAUGCGUAGAUAUCGGGAGGAACACCAGUUGCGAAGGCGGCCUUCUGGGAUAACAUUGACGCUGAGGAACGAAAGCGUGGGUAGCAAACGGG
rnacentral:rRNA from 1 species